GUCGACUUUUUCUCUGGUUUGAUAAAGUGAUGGAGCACUAGUGCUGCUCGUAUCCGCCGCUGCACGGGAUAAUUUGAUGCAUCUCCUCCUGAUAAUUCUAUGGCUGAUUGCUUGUGGUGUUGAAUGAAAUGAGUAUUUGUGGUGUGAAGUUGUUGUUGCAAGGAAGGUUAGGGAUGGAGGAGUAGUGAUGUUGCAAAGGGGUUGGCAAAAAGUCGUCGUACCCAUGGCUGCUUACGAGCAGCGAAAUGUUGAAAAGGCGACUGUAAGGAGGAGCAACGACGGGAAGAAAGUCGAGGAAGAGAAAAUGUAAGAUAUUUAGAUAAUUAAAUAAUAAUAAAUAAAUAAAUAAAUAAAGCAAUUCUCACCAUUUUAGUUUCAUUUCGAACAAUAUUAUAUAAUCUAGAAAAUGUAAAAAUUAAAUGAAAAUUCUAAUUUUAAAUUUUAAUUAAAUGGAUAAUGCACAUUUUUCACUAUUUUGUUGCGUGCAC
rnacentral:lncRNA from 1 species